rnacentral:lncRNA from 10 species
CGACAUUAUUGCAUUUCCACUUUACAGAUUAGAAGACGGAGGCCUGCAAGAUCAGGUAUUUGACUUGGAUUUUGUAUUUUGGACACACUACUGUACUGCAAUUUUAUGGAACGGGGGUAAUGUUCACUCCUCCACUCACCGCACAGGUGCUGAGCACCAGCAUGGCAGAAGCUGUGCCCCGGGACACAGCUUUGCACUGGUCUUCAAUAAGUUUCAAAUACCUUGAGUCAAAAAGGAUGCUAAAACAAGAGUUUGAAGACAAAAAGAAUAGGUGGAUAGCAGCUGCUGGUUUAAUCAUCCCCUUCCUGUCCCUGCUCAAAUGUUGAAACCUAAUAUUCAGUGUGGUGGUCUUAGAAGGUCCAAGUCCUCCAGUCAAAAUGUUGACAAUUCUAUGAGGUAAGUACUGUUUGCUGAAAAAGUGAUCCCUGCUAGGAGACAGUGAUGUUCACAUGCUGGCAUGCUGAUGGAAGCCGUGUUCCACACACUGGACGUGAACUCCAUGAGCGCGGCCAGCAUACACUCUGGAGAUGGAAGAGUCGCCACUUUGUAGAAAACACAUGGAAUAGCAUCAGUAUUGCAGAGAGGACUGCUGAAACUCAAUAAGGUGGCAUGUAACUCCCUUAGGAGGGCUCCCAGUUACUUCUUUCCAGACUACAGUAUGGAAAAAGGACACCAGAGUAACCUUGCAGUGGACAAGCCUGACAAACACCUCUGCCAGGUGACUAAGCUCCAGUCAACACAUGAGGAAAACAUCAGAAACAUCACAAUCAAGAGAAUUUCCACAGAAUGGUUUACCAGUCGGCCUCCAAUCUGUCGAGGUCAUCAAAGACAAGGAAAACCUGAGAAACCGUCACAGCCAAGGGGAGCCCAAGGAGACGUGACGACUAAAUGCCACAUGAGGUUUGGGAUGGGACCCGUGGAUGGAAUGAGAACAUUAGGUGAAAACUCAGAACAUUCAAUGCGGUACGGACUGUAGUCAUUAAAGUGUCAAUAUCAGUUCAUUAAUUGUGGCAAAUGGACCAUACUAACAUAAGACAUUAAUAACAGAGGAUUGUGGAUGUUGUAUCUAUGGGAGCACUUCAUACUGUCCUCACGACUUCUCUGUAAAAGUGCUGAAACAAAAAGUAUAUUUAAAAAACUAAAUCUUGGGAGCAAGGCACAUUAAUUUAGAAUGUUUCUGUGUUUAAUAUCUCAUUAUUUUAUUAGUAUAUUAC